AUGAUUGCAGAAUUUGAUAUGGUAAUGCAAGAUCACCUUAGACGUGUUGAGAACAAGGAAAUCCAUUAUCACUAUCUCAGUCAUAAAAUACAAAAUGAGCUGAUAUCUCUUUUGGCUUCUGACAUCACAUGUUCUAUCAUAAAGGUUGUUAAAGAGGCCAAGUAUUUCUCUGUUAUCCUAGAUUGUACCCCUGAUGUUAGUCAUCAAGAACAAAUGACCUUUUUAGUUCGAUGUGUUAAUCUGUCUGAUGGCAAAAUAAAAAUUGAGGAGUACUUUCUGGGGUUCUUGAAAGUGGAUGACACUUCUGGCUUAGGGAUUUUCAAAGUACUUCUUGAUUCUGUUGAGUCUUUUGGCCUAAAUAUUCAAGAUAUAAGAGGUCAAGGAUAUGAUAACGGUUCUAAUAUGAAAGGAAAAUACCUAGGGGUACAAUCUAGGUUACUUGAUAUGAAUCCAAGAGCAUUAUAUAUGCCAUGUGCUUGUCAUAGCCUAAAUCUCACUCUCUGUGAUAUGGAAAAAUCAUGUGAGAAAGCUAUUUCAUUUUUUGGAAUUGUUCAACGCAUAUAUGUAUUAUUUGCUAGCUCUACAAAAAGGUGGAAUGUUUUGCUUAAACAUGUUCCUAGUUUGACCGUGAAAUCAUUAUCCAAUACU
rnacentral:rRNA from 1 species